rnacentral:tRNA from 1 species
UCCAGGGUAGCCUAGUGGACAUGGCAUCUGCCCGGUAAGCGAAAAACACUGUGGGUUCGUUUCCCAUCCCUGGAU